GAUGAACGCUGACAGAAUGCUUAACACAUGCAAGUCAACUUGAAUUUGGGUUUUUAACUUAGGUUUGGGUGGCGGACGGGUGAGUAACGCGUAAAGAACUUGCCUCACAGUUAGGGACAACAUUUGGAAACGAAUGCUAAUACCUGAUAUUAUGAUAAUAGGGCAUCCCAUAAUUAUGAAAGCUAUAAGCGCUGUGAGAGAGCUUUGCGUCCCAUUAGCUAGUUGGAGAGGUAACGGCUCACCAAGGCGAUGAUGGGUAGCCGGCCUGAGAGGGUGAUCGGCCACAAGGGGACUGAGACACGGCCCUUACUCCUACGGGAGGCAGCAGUGGGGAAUAUUGGACAAUGGACCAAGAGUCUGAUCCAGCAAUUCUGUGUGCACGAUGAAGUUUUUCGGAAUGUAAAGUGCUUUCAGUUGGGAAGAAAUAAAUGACGGUACCAACAGAAGAAGUGACGGCUAAAUACGUGCCAGCAGCCGCGGUAAUACGUAUGUCACGAGCGUUAUCCGGAUUUAUUGGGCGUAAAGCGCGUCUAGGUGGUUAUGUAAGUCUGAUGUGAAAAUGCAGGGCUCAACUCUGUAUUGCGUUGGAAACUGUAUAACUAGAGUACUGGAGAGGUAAGCGGAACUACAAGUGUAGAGGUGAAAUUCGUAGAUAUUUGUAGGAAUGCCGAUGGGGAAGCCAGCUUACUGGACAGAUACUGACGCUGAAGCGCGAAAGCGUGGGUAGCAAACAGG
rnacentral:rRNA from 1 species